AUCUGUUCCAAGCUCGUUCUAAUUUUUUCAAACACACUUGGCUUUGUGAGUUUGUGCCGCUAUGUUUCUUUGCUUAACUACGACAUUUUCAUUCAGCCAGGUACACCAUCAAAUUGAUCAAAAUGUCAAAUGUAUAAUGAUAAUGAGAAUUGGAGCUAUUUCGUUUCAGAUAUAUUAAUAUACUUAGGGAAAUAAAUGAAACUAAUUUCCCUUUUCCCCCAGAAUUUGGGCGUCCAAAGGCGUCCAUUUUUUGUUCUAGGGGCGUCCCUGUACGCCCUUCUGGCUAAAAGCCUGCUCUAAAUCAAGCUUGGCGGCCAUUGACACUUGUUGGCUGAACAAAUUUUAACAAAAACUAUAAAGAAGGUGUUUGAAGUGUAAUAUAGACAACUUCUCAUUCAUUUAAAAUAUGUUUUUGAGCAUGUGAUUAUGACUAGGCAUGAACUAUAAUACAUAUAUUAUUUAAUUGUCAUUUAUAAUAAUUGAUAAAAAGUUGUCAAAAUGUCAAUGUUUUGUACAUGUUAUUGUAGCAUUGCCAAACGAAUUUAAGGCUAGUGAAGGCUAGUGUACAACAUUGUUUUAUCCAAGAUGUACUUUAAAUGCAACAAUUGGUUUAAACUGAUAAUCAGUUUCGACUUACAAAAC